UCCACAGUAGCUCAGUGGUAGAGCUAUCGGCUGUUAACCGAUCGGUCGUAGGUUCGAGUCCUACCUGUGAAGCCA
rnacentral:tRNA from 1 species